UCCAGACUCCUACGGGAGGCAGCAGUGAGGAAUAUUGGUCAAUGGGCGGGAGCCUGAACCAGCCAAGCCGCGUGAGGGAAGAAGGUACAGCGUAUCGUAAACCUCUUUUGUCAGGGAACAAAGGCGGGGACUAGUCCCCGGAUGAGGGUACCUGAAGAAAAAGCAUCGGCUAACUCCGUGCCAGCAGCCGCGGUAAUACGUAGGGAGCAAGCGUUGUCCGGAAUUACUGGGCGUAAAGGGCGCGUAGGUGGGCGCUUAAGUCAGGUGUGAAAACUCCGGGCUCAACCUGGAGACUGCACUUGAAACUGGGUGUCUUGAGGGCAGGAGAGGAAAGUGGAAUUCCUAGUGUAGCGGUGAAAUGCGUAGAUAUUAGGAGGAACACCAGUGGCGAAGGCGACUUUCUGGACUGUACCUGACGCUGAGGCGCGAAAGCGUGGGUAGCGAACGGGAUUAGAUACCCUCGUA
rnacentral:rRNA from 1 species